ANAGUUUGAUGAUGGCUCAGAAUCAACGCUGGCGGCGCGCUUAACACAUGCAAGUCGAACGAGAAAGCAUCCUUCGGGGUGUGAGUACAGUGGCGCACGGGUGAGUAACACGUGGGUUACCUGCCCUCCGGUGGGGAAUAACUCCGCGAAAGUGGAGCUAAUACCGCAUACGACCUUUGGGUGAAAGUCCUAGGACGCCGGAGGAGGGGCCCGCGGCCGAUUAGCUUGUUGGUGAGGUAAUGGCUCACCAAGGCUGCAAUCGGUAGCCGGCCUGAGAGGGCACACGGCCACACUGGCACUGAGACACGGGCCAGACUCCUACGGGAGGCAGCAGUGGGGAAUCUUGCACAAUGGGGGAAACCCUGAUGCAGCGACGCCGCGUGGGCGAUGAAGUCCUUCGGGGCGUAAAGCUCUUUCAGUGGGAACGAUAAUGACGGUACCCACAGAAGAAGCUGCGGCUAACUACGUGCCAGCAGCCGCGGUAAUACGUAGGCAGCGAGCGUUGUUCGGAGUUACUGGGCGUAAAGAGUGCGUAGGCGGUUACGUAAGUCUGGUGUGAAAUCUCCCGGCUCAACUGGGAGGGUGCGCCGGAAACUGCGGAGCUUGAGCACGGGAGAGGAAAGCGGAAUUCCUGGUGUAGCGGUGAAAUGCGUAGAUAUCAGGAGGAACACCGGUGGUGUAGACGGCUUUCUGGACCGUUGCUGACGCUGAGGCACGAAAGCGUGGGGAGCAAACAGGAUUAGAUACCCUGGUAGUCCACGCCCUAAACGAUGCA
rnacentral:rRNA from 1 species